rnacentral:rRNA from 1 species
CCUACGGGAGGCUGCAGUGAGGAAUAUUGGUCAAUGGACGAGAGUCUGAACCAGCCAAGUAGCGUGAAGGAUGACUGCCCUAUGGGUUGUAAACUUCUUUUAUAUGGGAAUAAAAUGUUCCACGUGUGGGAUUUUGUAUGUACCAUAUGAAUAAGGAUCGGCUAACUCCGUGCCAGCAGCCGCGGUAAUACGGAGGAUCCGAGCGUUAUCCGGAUUUAUUGGGUUUAAAGGGAGCGUAGGUGGAUUGUUAAGUCAGUUGUGAAAGUUUGCGGCUCAACCGUAAAAUUGCAGUUGAAACUGGCAGUCGUGAGUACAGUAGAGGUGUGCGGAAUUCGUGGUGUAGCGGUGAAAUGCUUAGAUAUCACGAAGAACUCCGAUUGCGAAGGCAGCUCACUGGACUGCAACUGACACUGAGGCUCGAAAGUGUGGGUAUCAAACAGGAUUAGAUACCCUUGUAGUC